UCCCUGGUGGCUCAGAUGGUAAAGCGUCUGCCUGCAACACGGGAGACCCAGGUUUGAUCCCUGGGUUGGGAA
rnacentral:tRNA from 1 species